UUUGGUUAAGAGAAAGGCGAACACGGUGGAUGCCUUGAACAACUAGGAGUCGAUGAAGACGGGACUAAACGCCGGAUAUGCUUCGGGGAGCGUAAGUAAGCUUUGAUCCGAAGAUUUCCGAAUGGAAACCCACCAUACGUAAUGUAUGGUACUCCUUAUCUGAAUUACAUAGGUAAGAAGACAGACCCAGGGAACUGAAACAUCUAAGUAACCUGGAGGAGAGAAAGCAAAAUGCGAUUUCCUGAGU
rnacentral:rRNA from 1 species